rnacentral:lncRNA from 1 species
CUAGCCAAAAAUAAAAGAGAAGAAAAAGGUUUAGACUUUUCAGUGCAAACUCAUAUUAAAAAGCAAUUACAGUAAUGACCGAGUCUUUAGUUUAAUGGAAGUAAGUUUUAUAAUCUCCCAAGGGCUUAUUCUCUACAUUUUAGAUAGUACAGUAAAAGGGAACCAACCAGCUACUCCUUAGGCUUUGUAUUUCCAAAAGCACAUAUCGCCUUCACCCAGCAUUUGCACUUGCAACGUUCUUCACUGGAAGAACUCCAUUCAUAUUGCAUAGAUACUCAAAGGAAUGCUUCGAAGUAGAUGUUUUUGGGAAGUAUACAUUAGAUAUUGGCAAUCUAAACAACUACCAUACAACAAGAUUCACUCGUCAAAACUUUCCAUCAUAUAAAAUAUUUGUUUUCUCAAAACCAUCAGCGGUUAGACUUACCCUCGUCACAGGAAGCUUCAUCAAGCAUGUCAAGAAAUCCUUUU